rnacentral:lncRNA from 11 species
GGACCUUAUCACAUGGACCUUGAGAAGCGUUAUGGACCAGGCAUGUAGCCAGAGCCGGCUCUAGGUAUUUUUCAAGUUGCCCCUUGUUUUAGCCUUCAGUGCCGGGAGAGGAAGGGGAAUGCGCCGACAGCCCAG